UGCUUCUGCGAAAGAAUUAUACAAGCAAAACAAAGAUAACAAGUUGUAGAAUUUGCGUGCUACUUUUAACAAUACAACUACACUCAUGGAACACUAUAUUUGGACAUAUAUUAUUUCGAAUAUCGAGUAAUUCGAAAUAUGAAGAAUUAAUAUGUGGAAAAUGUCACACUUUAAAUCUACAUAAUUAUGAUUUUUACAAGUUGUUGUUUUUAUUAUCAGAACAAGGAUUACAUACAUAUAACAUGGGUACGCGGGAAAUCAGUUUUUAUGCUACAGUGAAGAAAAACAUGUGAGCAUUUCAUUUAGAAUACAUAGCAUUUUUGCUAUCAUAUUUUUGUUAGUUUCGGAAAAUUUUUAUAACGCAUAUUUAAAUUAAUAAGUCGACAAUAACAACAAGUAUAACUAUAAUAUACGUGUUUUUGUUACGCUCUAUGAAGAAAUUAUAUAUAUUUUUACAUGACAUUAGCCAAAAUAAUAAGAAAUUUCAACGCCACGACAACACUGCAACGAUAACACCAAUUGGAAUGGAGAGGAACGAUGGGAAUAAGUUUUGGUACAGAACGCGAAUACAUAAGCAAAUGGAAAAUAGCAAACGCACACACAAAUAUGCUAUAAAAACUGCAAUACAUAAAGGCAAUCGCAGUUCUUUAUAUACGUUGAGCGACGGAUACAAAUUAUAACCAAACAUGUCUUUUCCCUCGUCUACAUACGGUCACUUUUCUAUGUGUGUACUUUGAAAA